GACGAACGCUGGCGGCGUGCUUAACACAUGCAAGUGGAGCGACGAACCGGGCUUCGGCCUGGGGCACAGCCGCGAACGGGUGAGUAUCACGUGGGUAACCUGCCCCGAUGAACGGGACAACCCGAGGAAACUCGGCGGAAUACAGGAGGCUAUCCACGCACACCAGUGCGAGGAGGAAAGGAAGCUUAGGCCUCCGCACUGGGCUGGGCCCGGCGGCGCAUUAGCUGGUUGGUGAGGUAAAGGCUCACCAAGGCAACGAUGGGUAGCUGGUCUGAGAGGACGAGCAGCCACACUGGGACUGAGACACGGCCCAGACUCCUACGGGAGGCAGCAGUGGGGAAUCUUGGGCAAUGCGCGAAAGCGUGACGCAGCAACGCCGCGUGAGGGAAGAAGGCCUUCGGGUUGUAAACCUCUUUCAGGGGGGACGAAGGUUCAGGCGCGAAUAGCGUCAUGAACUGACGGUACCUCCAGAAGAAGCACCGGCUAACUACGUGCCAGCAGCCGCGGUAA
rnacentral:rRNA from 1 species